rnacentral:rRNA from 1 species
AGUGAACGCUGGCGGCAGGCCUAACACAUGCAAGUCGAACGGAAGGACAGUAAGAGUUUGCUCUUACCGGUGGCGAGUGGCGGAUGGGUGACGAGUAGAUCGCCUUCUUCUUUUUCGGGGGGGACUACGGAGGGAAACUUACGCUAAUACCGCAUAUGAUGUACGGGUGAAAGCAGUGGAUCUUUGCACCUUGGGUGUCUCAAUUAGCUGAUGCCGGAUUAGCUAGUUGGUGGGGUAAAGGCCCACCAAGGCGACGAUACGUAGCCGGGCUGAGAGGAUGAUCGGCCACACUGGAACUGAGACACGGUCCAGACUCCUACGGGAGGCAGCAGUAGGGAAUAUUGGGCAAUGGGCGCAAGCCUGAUCCAGCCAUGCCGCGUGAGUGAAGAAGGCCUUCGGAUUGUAAAGCCCUUUUAUUGGGGAAGAAAAGCUGCGGAUUAAUACACCGCUGUUUUGACGGUACCCAAAGAAUAAGCACCGGCUAACUUCGUG